rnacentral:sRNA from 1 species
GCGACAAAUCCCCCCUGCUUCUGCGGGAAC